rnacentral:rRNA from 1 species
UUGAACGCUGGCGGCAGGCCUAACACAUGCAAGUCGAGCGGUUGAGAGUAGCUUGCUACUUGAUGCAGCGGCGGACGGGUGAGUAACGCGUGGGAAUCUGCCCAGUAGUGGGGGACAACAGCCGGAAACGGCUGCUAAUACCGCAUACGCCCUACGGGGGAAAGGGGGGGAUCUUCGGACCUCUCGCUAUUGGAUGAGCCCGCGUCGGAUUAGCUAGUUGGUAGGGUAAAGGCCUACCAAGGCUACGAUCCGUAACUGGUCUGAGAGGAUGAUCAGUCACACUGGAAAUGAGACACGGUCCAGACUCCUACGGGAGGCAGCAGUGGGGAAUAUUGGACAAUGGGGGAAACCCUGAUCCGGCCAUGCCGCGUGUGUGAAGAAGGCCUUAGGGUUGUAAAGCACUUUCAGUGGGGAGAAAGGUUUGUCACCUAAUACGUGAUGAAAUUGAUGUUACCCACAGAAGAAGCACCGGCUAACUCCGUGCCAGCCGCCGCGGUAAUAC